rnacentral:rRNA from 1 species
GCUGGCGGCGUGCUUAACACAUGCAAGUCGAACGAAGAGCGAUGGAAGCUUGCUUCUAUCAAUCUUAGUGGCGAACGGGUGAGUAACGCGUAAUCAACCUGCCCUUCAGAGGGGGACAACAGUUGGAAACGACUGCUAAUACCGCAUACGAUCUAACCUUGGCAUCGAGGAUGGAUGAAAGGUGGCCUCUAUUUAUAAGCUAUCACUGAAGGAGGGGAUUGCGUCUGAUUAGCUAGUUGGAGGGGUAACGGCCCACCAAGGCGAUGAUCAGUAGCCGGUCUGAGAGGAUGAACGGCCACAUUGGGACUGAGACACGACCCAGACUCCUACGGGAGGCAGCAGUGGGGAAUCUUCCGCAAUGGACGAAAGUCUGACGGAGCAACGCCGCGUGAGUGAUGACGGCCUUCGGGUUGUAAAGCUCUGUUAAUCGGGACGAAAGGCCUUCUUGCGAAUAGUUAGAAGGAUUGACGGUACCGGAAUAGAAAGCCACGGCUAACUACGUGCCAGCAGCCGCGGUAAUACCUAGGUGGCAAGCGUUGUCCGGAAUUAUAGGGCGUAAAGCGCGCGCAGGCGGGAUCAGUCCUUCUGUCUUAAAAGUUCGGGGCUUAACCCCGUGAGGGGAUGGAAACUGCUGAUCUAGAGUAUCGGAGAGGAAAGUGGAAUUCCUAGUGUAGCGGUGAAAUGCGUAGAUAUUAGGAAGAACACCAGUGGCGAAGGCGACUUUCUGGACGAAAACUGACGCUGAGGCGCGAAAGCCAGGGGAGCGAACGGGAUUAGAUACCCCGGUAGUCCUGGCCGUAAACGAUGGGUACUAGGUGUAGGAGGUAUCGACCCCUUCUGUGCCGGAGUUAACGCAAUAAGUACCCCGCCUGGGGAGUACGACCGCAAGGUUGAAACUCAAAGGAAUUGACGGGGGCCCGCACAAGCGGUGGAGUAUGUGGUUUAAUUCGACGCAACGCGAAGAACCUUACCAGGUCUUGACAUUGAUGGACAGAACCAGAGAUGGUUCCUCUUCUUCGGAAGCCAGAAAACAGGUGGUGCACGGUUGUCGUCAGCUCGUGUCGUGAGAUGUUGGGUUAAGUCCCGCAACGAGCGCAACCCCUAUCUUAUGUUGCCAGCACGUGAUGGUGGGAACUCAUGAGAGACUGCCGCAGACAAUGCGGAGGAAGGCGGGGAUGACGUCAAAUCAUCAUGCCCCUUAUGACCUGGGCUACACACGUACUACAAUGGGAGUUAAUAGACGGAAGCGAGAUCGCGAGAUGGAGCAAACCCGAGAAACACUCUCUCAGUUCGGAUCGUAGGCUGCAACUCGCCUACGUGAAGUCGGAAUCGCUAGUAAUCGCAGGUCAGCAUACUGCGGUGAAUACGUUCCCGGGCCUUGUACACACCGCCCGUCACACCACGAAAGUCGGAAGUGCCCAAAGCCGGUGGGGUAACCUUCGGGAGCCAGCCGUCUAAGGUAAAGUCGAUGAUUGG